rnacentral:tRNA from 1 species
GCGCCUGUAGCUCAGCGGAUAGAGCACAUGAUUCCGGUUCAUGGUGCCGGGGGUUCAAAUCCCUCCAGGCGCG